rnacentral:rRNA from 1 species
AAACUCAAAGGAAUUGACGGGGAGCACCACAACGGGUGGAGCUUGCGGUUUAAUUGGAUUCAACGCCGGAAAUCUUACCGGGACCGACAGCAAUAUGAAGGCCAGGCUGAAGACUUUGCCGGAUUAGCUGAGAGGUGGUGCAUGGCCGUCGUCAGUUCGUACUGUGAAGCAUCCUGUUAAGUCAGGCAACGAGCGAGACCCACGCCCACAGUUGCCAGCGUACUCUCUGGAGUGACGGGUACACUGUGGGACCGCCGCUGCUAAAGCGGAGGAAGGAAUGGGCAACGGUAGGUCAGUAUGCCCCGAAUAUCCCGGGCUACACGCGAGCUACAAUGGUUGGUACAAUGGGUAUCCACCCCGAAAGGGGACGGGAAUCUCCUAAAACCAAUCUUAGUUCGGAUUGAGGGCUGCAACUCGCCCUCAUGAAGCUGGAAUCCGUAAUAAUCGCGUUUCAACAGAACGCGGUGAAUACGUCCCUGCUCCUU